CCUACGGGUGGCAGCAGUGGGGAAUAUUGGACAAUGGGCGAAAGCCUGAUCCAGCCAUGCCGCGUGUGUGAAGAAGGCCUUCGGGUUGUAAAGCACUUUCAGUGGGGAAGAAAGCCUUGGGGCUAAUACCCUCGAGGAAGGACAUCACCCACAGAAGAAGCACCGGCUAACUCCGUGCCAGCAGCCGCGGUAAUACGGAGGGUGCGAGCGUUAAUCGGAAUUACUGGGCGUAAAGCGCACGUAGGCGGUCUGAUAAGCCGGUUGUGAAAGCCCCGGGCUCAACCUGGGAACGGCAUCCGGAACUGUCAGGCUAGAGUGCAGGAGAGGAAGGUAGAAUUCCCGGUGUAGCGGUGAAAUGCGUAGAGAUCGGGAGGAAUACCAGUGGCGAAGGCGGCCUUCUGGACUGACACUGACGCUGAGGUGCGAAAGCGUGGGUAGCAAACAGGAUUAGAUACCCGGGUAGUC
rnacentral:rRNA from 1 species